AAUCUGAACUCCGCAUUAUUGCCUGACUGAACAGUCCUGGCAAUUCUCACUAAUUCUUGAUCCUCAUGCUGCUUUUGAGCCACCUGCUCAAGAAGUACGGGUGUUACUCUCAUCUGUGCUAUCAAUGCUCCUGUUCCAGACAAUUCUAACUGUAGACCUUCAUCUAGGAGCCUAUACAACUCUGCCACCACCGGUCUCCUCUCUGCUGCUAUAUGAGAUAAACUGCCAAGUGACUUUCGGCUAAGGGCGUCUGCUACAACAUU
rnacentral:lncRNA from 1 species